rnacentral:rRNA from 1 species
CACGUAGGGCGCAAGCGUUGUCCGGAAUUAUUGGGCGUAAAGAGCUCGUAGGCGGUCUGUUGCGUCCGCUGUGAAAACUCGGGGCUUAACCCCGAGCCUGCAGUGGAUACGGGCAGACUAGAGGUAGGUAGGGGAGAAUGGAAUUCCCGGUGUAGCGGUGAAAUGCGCAGAUAUCGGGAGGAACACCGGUGGCGAAGGCGGCUCACUGGACCAUAACUGACGCUGAUGCACGAAAGCUAGGGGAGCAAACAGG